GAAUGAUGGCACAUCUGUAACAUUGUGAUCUUUGUUUCGAAGGUUGGCUACAGAAAUUUGUUGUGGCAGUUCUCCGUGCCUCUCAAAAAAAAAAAAAUCACUAUUGAGGUUGGCCUCGAACAAACUGCUACAUU